CGUGCAACGACGCCUCGGCGUCGUCUCCGUCGGCUGCCGGAGAAGCGAGCUGUUCGAGCAGCCGCCGACUCACCGUACUACGUUCUCUGGCGUCCUCUUCACCUACUCCGACGCGCCCAAGGCCAGCUCCAACCCCGACGCCUCUUCUCCGACCUGUCAAGCACAUCCAGCAGCAAGAUGGAUCAUGAUAAGAUACCGAAAGCACAUUGGGAUGCUGUGUCCACCACAGUUUUUUGUGAAAUCUGCGCCGAUCAAAAA